rfam:Ixodes scapularis strain Wikel colony gcontig_1107728954312, whole genome shotgun sequence.
ACGCCGCUGGUGAAGUGGUAUCAUGCAAGAUUCCCACUCUUGCGACCCAAGUUCAAUUCCCGGGCGGCGUG